GAGUUUGAUCCUGGCUCAGAUUGAACGCUGGCGGUAUGCUUAACACAUGCAAGUCGAACGGUAACAGGAGAGAGCUUGCUCUUUUGCUGACGAGUGGCGGACGGGUGAGUAAUGCGUAGGAAUCUGGCCUAGUAGUGGGGGACAACGUGUGGAAACGCACGCUAAUACCGCAUACGCCCUACGGGGAAGCGGGGAGUCUUCGGACCUCGCGCUAUUAGAUGAGCCUACGUUAGAUUAGCUAGUUGGUGGGUAAAGGCCUACCAAGGCGACGUAUCUAUUAGCUGGUCUGAGAGGAUGAUCAGCCACACUUGGGACUGAGACACGGCCCAGACUCCUACGGGAGGCAGCUAGUGGGGAAUAUUGGACAAUGGGCGAAAGCCUGAUCCAGCAAUACCGCGUGUGUGAAGAAGGCCUGAGGGUU
rnacentral:rRNA from 1 species